GAUGAAUGCUGGCGGCGUGCCUAACACAUGCAAGUCGAGCGGUAAGGCCCCUUCGGGGGUACACGAGCGGCGGACGGCUGAGUAACGCGUGGGAACAUGCCCCAAAGUGAGGGAUAAGCUCCAGAAAUGGAGUCUAAUACCGCAUAUGGUCUUCGGAUUAAAGGAUUUAUCCGCUUUGGGAGUGGCCAGCGUACGAUUAG
rnacentral:rRNA from 1 species